UUCAUUAAACCCAGUGACCACUUCAGCUUCUUCAUCUCACGACCUCACAUAACGAGCCACCUCCUUUCACCCAUCGUUGUUUCUGCUUCUUCUCGUUCAUACAGCUCGCCGAAAAACAAAUUGAAAUGACCACCAAAAUCAACCUAGAUAGUCUGCUUCCGCCCCGUUCUAACGCAGUCGAAGUUCCGUCUAUUUUCGAGUUCGCCG
rnacentral:lncRNA from 1 species